AUGCUCAUUUCAGCAGUACAUACACUAAAAUCGGCCCUUUACAGAGAAGAUGAGCAUGUCCCCUGUUCAAGGAGGGCAUGCAAAUUUGUGAACUGUUCCAGAUUUUU
rnacentral:snRNA from 1 species